AUUGAACGCUGGCGGCAGGCCUAACACAUGCAAGUCGAACGGUAGCACAGAGAGCUUGCUCUCGGGUGACGAGUGGCGGACGGGUGAGUAAUGUCUGGGAAACUGCCCGAUGGAGGGGGAUAACUACUGGAAACGGUAGCUAAUACCGCAUAAUGUCGCAAGACCAAAGAGGGGGACCUUCGGGCCUCUUGCCAUCGGAUGUGCCCAGAUGGGAUUAGCUUGUUGGUGAGGUAAUGGCUCACCAAGGCGACGAUCCCUAGCUGGUCUGAGAGGAUGACCAGCCACACUGGAACUGAGACACGGUCCAGACUCCUACGGGAGGCAGCAGUGGGGAAUAUUGCACAAUGGGCGCAAGCCUGAUGCAGCCAUGCCGCGUGUGUGAAGAAGGCCUUCGGGUUGUAAAGCACUUUCAGCGGGGAGGAAGGCGAUACGGUUAAUAACCGUGUUGAUUGACGUUACCCGCAGAAGAAGCACCGGCUAACUCCGUGC
rnacentral:rRNA from 1 species